AACCCCUGGCAAUGAGCAAAGACACCACCUUGUUGGUGUUGUUCUUGAAUCAGUGAGGAGUAGAGCAGAUGAUGGUCCUUUGUUCAUCCAAGCUUGAUGCCUGGGUUGGUGGCCAAAGCUGUUUCUUGCCUAGUACACAGUU
rfam:Fukomys damarensis contig82986, whole genome shotgun sequence.